rnacentral:lncRNA from 1 species
AAUUUAUUAUUGCAACAACGUUGUCUUUACGUGGGGUGUAUUAAACUUAAUGAGUAAAUCUGAAACCAUAACUUUUUUUAAGGAAAAAAAAAAGGAUGAGGGGAAAAAAUUUGUUAUACGAACUGCAGACUUCGUUAAACAAAAAACCGAAACGAAAAUUCACUUUAUUAAAAUCAUGCUAGUCAAUUUAUUACUGCAUUGUCAUCCUGAGCUGUCAACUUGUCAACAACUUUCUUGCGUCGAAUUUCUGUUAUCUCUAUGCAACAUGAAACAUAUUUUACUUCGAGUUAAACUUAAUUUAAAGAAUUCUAUCUUCCGUUCUUAAAUAUUUUAAAAUUUAAAGUGAAAAAGGCGAAAUAUUUGUUUAAAAUCUCCACACGUCAUUUUUUUUCUUUCUUCUUCCGUCUUCGCCAACUCUAUACCGAACAACAAAAUUACUUUCGUAAUUUUGUUGUUCGGGUGUGUAGAGUUUGCGAAAGUCAUAGAUUUCUUAUGCGAUACAAACAUUUCUGAAGAAAGUUAAGAAAAAUAUUAUUAUUAAACUGAGAAUUGACAUCUAAACUUCCUCCAGGAUUUUUUAAAUAAUAAUCAUAAAUAUUUCUACAUUUGGUAAAAUGGCAAAAUUUAAUGACGAAUCACAUCAGCUGAUAAAUAAGCGAACAGAUGUUGGCUAUUUGGCAUUUAUUAUAUUCACUGCGACAUUAAUUAUUCUGUAAGAUGGUUCUCGUAUAUAAUUCGGCAGAAGUUUAUUAAUAAUGAACUAAAUAUCUAGCUAAUGAGUCAUUCUGUACUAAGGCGUGUCCAGACAUUCUUUCGUAGAAAGAAAAAAUAAAAGUUAAACACGAAAUAUGUCUCAAUCGAUGCGUAGUUAAUAUUUAAACUAAACAUCUAGAAUAUCUCACUCGUCUUCGAAUAAUUCAUGAAUGGCACAUUUUUUUCUCAUAGCUUAUAUUUAUACAAAUACAUGUGUCUGGAUACGCAGCAGAUGAAUUGAUAGUUAAGACGUAAUAAUAAUUUUUUCCUCUAACUCUGUAGCAGGCAUUAUUCACUUACAUAUCUCGUAAUACAAUCAAUUUUUCACGAAUUUCGCGAUUUCUCCUUAUAAAAUAAAUCUUAUUAAUUAUCGGAGGCUUCGAUAAUCUACCGCUCUCAUUCUUGCUUACAUAUUGUAAACAGUUUUGAAAGCUCGCUAGGCGAUUGAUCAGCGAGAUAAGUUGUACUCAAUUUGUGGAAGUCGUUUAAAAGUUUUUUUCGUAAUAUACAGACGGAUAAACCUAAUAAUAUAAAUUCCAAUAAAAAGACGAAUUUAAUAACUGGCUCCUAAAAAAUAUUUGGAAUCGAGAGAUGGAGUAAAAUACUUUUCUGCAGAACAUGGAAAAUAUGUUUGGAUAGAUUCAACUGAGUAGAAAAUCAUAUGUUCGCCAAUCUAAUACUUUUCUAUUUUUUUUUUUUUCCUCCCAAUACAUAGAGAAUUAUAAAAGUGGAAAAUCAUUUGGCUUAACACUUUCGCACUAUCGAAAAUACAUCAUUUCGUAGAAAGCGAACUUUUAAAUGAAUGACUUUUCGAUCUUAUCCAAUAAGGAUGAAUUCAAGUAUAAUAGGUUUGUGACUCCCCGGUGACUUUGUCUGAUGAAUCAUUUAUUGGAACUGUCUCCAAGUUUAUUUGGAGCUUACUGCCAUCAACAUCCGACACUCUGGGCCAUUAUAUACCGCUAUAAAUGGGUAUACUCGAUUUUUUAAAAGAAUUCUUCAGAUGUAGAUAUCGUCACUCGAAGUUCAUUUAUCAGCCAGCACCGGAACAAACAAAUUAAAAAAAAUAAGAGUAAUUAUAGUAAACGUGAAUUUCUGGAAAGCAUUUAACGAGUUUAGAUGUUAACCUAAUUGCCAAAUCGAAGGACACGGGGACCAUUCGUAUAAUUAGAGAAAGAGGGAGAAAAUUAAACAUUAAAUUUGCAUAAUUCAUUAUCAUUCCGAACUGUUUUCGAUUUAUACUAAUAUAUAAAAUUAUAAGGCAGAGUUUAAUUAGUAAGUGUGUAUUUGCUAUGUCUUCAUUAUUCAUUCGCGUGGGACGUUCGGUAGUUAUGCACUAACGCCUUCGAUCGAUCUACAACAGGCAUAAUUUAUAAGAGCCAGAAAAUAAACCGCAAAACCUUUCAUUACGUAAUAAUACGGAAUUAAACGAUAAAUCGGGUUAGAAACGUAAUCGAUUUUUUAUAUAUAAUAUAAAAAAAAAAAAACUGUGCGAAAUCGCGAACUACAGACUUAAUUACUAGACAGCAACCAUUUUUCUUUUCCUCGAGUCUGUCAAAUUCUUUUAGCUUUUAUCCGAUUGUCAUCGAUCGUUUUUCUAAUAGAGGAUUUAAUGAUUUUUUUGUGUGUAUGUGUGUGUGAUUUAUUAGAAAAUAACAUCCCACGUCCGAUUGUCAGGAAUAUAAAGCGUUUGUCGACGGAAGCCAUUUUUCUUUUUGAAGUGUACGAUAAACUACUUUUCAUUAAUUUAACCAAUUGAAAACAUCGUUAUAAUGCCUCAUUUGGCGUUUACUCUCUGAAAGCUAAUGACUUUGAUGAGAGGUUAUAAAUUUAAUAACACGUCCCAUUCGGCAUUAACAUCGAUAACCUUCUGAUAGCCGUUUAAUUGUUGUUUAAACUGCGCGAAUAUGUCUGCAGUCGUACUACGAAUAUAUCCGUUAAAGUGGGGGAAAAAUUAAUAAUAACCAUGAUCGUUUAAAGAAUUUAAUGUCUUUUUUUUUAAAUACAAUUGUUUAUCAUUUUUAAAAACGUUUUGGGCGACAAAAAUGAAUUUAUAAUGCGUUAUUGCGUACAUUCGUAAGGUUAAAAGCCUCAAAAGUGCUUUUUGUUUUUAUUAAUCUGUAGCUUGUCGGAUGUAAAUAAACCCGAAUCUAAUGUUUGGUUAUCUCUAAAUUUACUCUCUAAAUUCGAUAUUUCUAGCACUUUUAUGGUUUUAAAAUGCUGAUAUAUAUCACGCAUCUACCUC